UUAAUUCAAAUUUGUAUGCAGUUGGAACGUUUGCCUACGCUUGUCUGGUGCUGUUCCAACUGCAUACAAAUUCGACUUA
rfam:Bombyx mori DNA, contig: Bm_scaf3_contig2774, strain: p50T/Dazao, build 2, whole genome shotgun sequence.